rnacentral:lncRNA from 1 species
GCAGUGCAAAAGGGAAAUAACAUAAGUGUGGUACAGCUCAAUAACACAUUAUAAAAGAUGAAGAUCUGUAAGGAUGGUUCAUUUGAAUCUGUAAUCCGGAGUUAUAGAAACAUACAGAAGAUAAGCAUUUUAUGCCAUCACUUUCAACAGCAAGAAUGUUGUACAUCACACAUUGUGUUGUUUAAUGUCUUUUUCAUUGUUUUUCUCUUUUAUGUGAAUUCUUUUCCUUUCUUCUUCCUCUUUAGAUCUGUUCUUCUUGUCUAGUUCCUUCUUUUCUUCUUCUCUCAUCUUAAAAGCAUUCAAUUGCUUCUUGUAUCGUUCUUUCUCCUCCACAGCUUGUGUAUAUCCUGCCCAAAAACUGAAUGGGCCAAAAGAUGAACCCUUUGUGGAACCUAGUUCCUUCUUUUCUUCUUCUCUCAUCUUAAAAGCAUUCAAUUGCUUCUUGUAUCGUUCUUUCUCCUCCACAGCUUGUGUAUAUCUUGCCCAAAUUGAACUGAAUGGGCCAAAAGAUGAACCCAUUGUGGAACCAGUUGAACCCAUUGUGGAACCAGAUGAACCCUUUGUGGAACCAGAUGAACCCAUAUCCUGCCAAAGUUGACUCCAUUUAAUGGUAGAAGAUAUUAUAGUUUUUUCAGGUAUAUGACGUCAAAAGAGAGAAAGAGAAAAUUC